AUGUUGGAGGCAACUGGGACCAUGCUGUGGCCAACUGAGACAUCUAGGAUCAUAUUGUUGGCAGCUGGGUCCAUGCUGGGAUCAACUGGGACCAAUUGGGGGCAGAUGAGACUAUUCUGUGAUCAACUGGAACCCACUGGGAUCAUUCUGGGGGCCAGCUGGGAGAAACUGGGAUCAUAUUUCCCCCCUGUGAUCCCUCCCGGGAUCAUAUCCCCGCCCUGUGAUCCAGGAAGAGACAGAGACCUGCUCCUCCAUCUGGACUGUCACAAGUCCAUGGAACCAGACGAGCUCCACCCUAGGGUGCUGAGGGAGCUGGUGGAGGUAAUCGCCAAGCUGCUUUCCACCAUCUAUCAGCGUUCCUGGUUCUCUGGAGAGGUCCCAGAGGAUUGGAGGCUUGCCGAUGUGACUCCCAUCUACAAGAAGGGCCGUAAGGAGGACCCGGGGAACUACAGGCCUGUCAGCCUGACCGCUGUUCCAGGGAAAGUUAUGGAGCAAACCAUCUUGGGUGAGGUCACAUGGCACGUGCGUGGCAUCCAGGGGAUCAGGCCCAGCCAGCACAGGUUCACGAAAGGCAGGUCGUGCUUGUCCAACCUCAUCUCCUUCUAUGAUCGUGUGACCAGACUGGUAGAUGAGGGAAGGGCUGUUGAUGUAGUCUACCUAGACUUCAGCAAAGCCUUUGACACGGUCUCCCACAGUAUUCUACUGGGGAAACUGGCUGCCCAUGGCCUGGACAGGUAUACUCUUCUCUGGGUAAAGAACUGGCUGGAGGGCUGUGCCCAGCGGGCAGGGGUUAAUGGAGUUAAGUCCAGCUGGCAUCCCAUUACAAGUGGUGUCCCCAGGGGUCGGUACUGGGGCCUAUCUUGUUUAAUAUCUUUAUUCGUGUCCUGGAUGAGGGGAUUGAAUGUACCCUCAGUGAGUUUGCAGACGACACCGAGUUGGGAGGCAGUGUCGAUCUGCCUGAGGGUGGGGUGGCUCUUCAGAGGGAUCUGGAUAGGUUGGACUGCUGGGCUGAGGCGAACGGGAUGA
rnacentral:lncRNA from 1 species